rnacentral:sRNA from 1 species
GCGAUCUCUGCGGGGCAAGAUGGCGGCGCCCAGACAGGCCUGGAGCACGGAUGAAUAAGAGGGAAUCCCCACACGGAGACACUGCUGGAGAGAGUCGUAUUGGGGAGGCAGCUGGAGCAGCAAGAUGCUGUCGAGACCGAAGCCAGGGGAGUCCGAGGUGGACCUGCUGCGCUUCCAGAGUCAGUUUCUCGCAGCUGGUGCAGCCCCAGCAGUGCAGUUGGUGAAGAAAGGAAAUAGGGGCGGUGGUGAUGCCAACUCAGACCGGCCUCCGCUCCAGGACCAUCGGGAUGUGGUGAUGUUGGACAGUGAGUUCCCGUGGAUGUGAGGCUGAGAAGUAGAGAGGGUACAGCCUCGGGCCCCUCCCUCUUCCUGUUGUGGUUGGAUUCAGACACAUCAUUAUUAUUUCAGACACUGCAUAGCCUGUGUUUCUGCAGCCCCAUUUUACAGAGGAAGAAAAUGAGGCUCAAAGAGGUUAAAUAUCUUACCCAAGAUGACACAGCUUGAGCCAGGGCCCCAUGGCAGCUGUCUUUCUUCCCUAGCCUGCAGUGUCUUCCUAGGAAGGUGCGCAUAUACUCACGUUUGGGAUCUUUUCUUUCU